rnacentral:lncRNA from 10 species
UGGAUCUCUCAUGGUUGGUGUUGUCUUCAUGAUAGUGAGUGAGCUCUCGAGAGAUCUGGCUGUUUAAAAGUGUGUGGCACCUCCCCAACUCUUUCUCUUGCUCCUGCUUUCGCCACGUGAACUGCCUGCUCCUCCUUCACCUUCUGCCAUCGUUGUCAGCUUCCCGAAGCCUCCCCAGAAGCCCAGCAGAUGCUGAGGCCAUGGUUCCUGUACAGCCAGCAGAACCGCGAGCCAGUUAAACCUCUUUCCUUUAUAAAUUACCCAGUCUCAGGUAUUUCUUUAUAGCAGUGCGAAAACUGCCUAAUACACUCUGUGUAAAACUGUUGGUCUGAGGGUCAGACUAGGUCCCUAGUCUUAGACGCAUCAGAAGGCAUUCCUGACAUCUCUUGGGCAUCAGCUCUUUCAGCCCCCUCUGCUUGGACCAAGCAGUGAUGAAGGGAAGAGGAGAGACCACAGCUUGAUGAGUCUUGCUCAGUCCAGGCUGGAGCCCAGUGAUGCAAUCUUCGAUCUUGGCUCCCUGCAACCUUCACCUCCCGGGUCCAAGCGACUCUCGUGCCUCAGCCUCCCGAGUAGCUGGGAUUACAGAUGUGUACCACCACACCUGGCUAAUUUAGAAAAUACGCAUUUAAAGUGCUUGAAAUAGCAGCUAGCAUAGAUGUGCGCUGGAAUUCAAAACACAGGUUUUAGAAGAUGGGAACCAUGGUGAACUCCCCGCUGGGCUUCCGGACCCUCCACCUAGCCACGCCCAUCCAGCUCUCUUCCAUGACUGGUUCCUAUGACCUCUCUUUCAUUGAGUGUGCUCUAUGCUGCUUGGCCCUGCAUUUUUCUCUGGUCAUUUUGUGGUACAAUGAUGUAUCGAGAUAUUAAUUUAUUUUUGUUCUCACUGCAAUUAGUGUCUUUCCCUCUUCAUUUCAAGGUGGCAGCCAAGCCUAGUUCCUGCACACUGCCAGGCUUUGUGUUGCAAGGCAUUGUGGGACCAGAUGGCAGUGUGGGGCUAGGCAGGGCUGGGAAGGAAGACCAUUGGGGCUACCUGUCUGAAUUCAAGCUCCGGGUGUUGAAGCACUCAGGAUCAGGGUGGCAGAUGGCAAUGCCAAAUCAG